rnacentral:rRNA from 1 species
UUUCGGAGAGUUUGAUCCUGGCUCAGGACGAACGCUGGCGGCGUGCCUAAUACAUGCAAGUCGAGCGGACUGAUGGGAGCUUGCUCCCUGAAGUCAGCGGCGGACGGGUGAGUAACACGUGGGUAACCUGCCUGUAAGACUGGGAUAACUCCGGGAAACCGGGGCUAAUACCGGAUAGUUCUUUUCCUCGCAUGAGGAAAAGUGGAAAGGCGGCUUCGGCUGCCACUUACAGAUGGACCCGCGGCGCAUUAGCUAGUUGGUGAGGUAACGGCUCACCAAGGCAACGAUGCGUAGCCGACCUGAGAGGGUGAUCGGCCACACUGGGACUGAGACACGGCCCAGACUCCUA